AACGAACGCUGGCGGCAGGCCUAACACAUGCAAGUCGAACGCUCCGCAAGGGGAGUGGCAGACGGGUGAGUAACGCGUGGGAACCUACCUUACGGUCGGGAAUAGCUCAGGGAAACUUGGGGUAAUACCGGAUACGCCCUUACGGGGAAAGAUUUAUCGCCGUUAGAUGGGCCCGCGUAGGAUUAGCUAGUUGGUGAGGUAACGGCUCACCAAGGCGACGAUCCUUAGCUGGUCUGAGAGGAUGAUCAGCCACACUGGGACUGAGACACGGCCCAGACUCCUACGGGAGGCAGCAGUGGGGAAUAUUGGACAAUGGGCGCAAGCCUGAUCCAGCCAUGCCGCGUGAGUGACGAAGGCCUUAGGGUUGUAAAGCUCUUUUGGCGGGGAAGAUAAUGACGGUACCCGCAGAAUAAGCUCCGGCUAACUUCGUGCCAGCCGCCGCGGUAAAAC
rnacentral:rRNA from 1 species